AAAUUUAGUUGUUCGCCCACCCGUAUAUGUUUAGGAAUAAGGCCUGAACGUCUCUACCCGGCUACCGAAAAUAGCUGGACUACGGUUGAUGGGGCGCCGGGA
rnacentral:ncRNA from 1 species